ACUAAGCGUACACGGUGGAUGCCCUGGCAGUCAGAGGCGAUGAAGGACGUGCUAAUCUGCGAAAAGCGUCGGUAAGGUGAUAUGAACCGUUAUAACCGGCGAUGUCCGAAUGGGGAAACCCAGUGUGAUUCGUCACACUAUCGUUAACUGAAUACAUAGGUUAACGAGGCGAACCGGGGGAACUGAAACAUCUAAGUACCCCGAGGAAAAGAAAUCAACCGAGAUUCCCCCAGUAGCGGCGAGCGAACGGGGAGCAGCCCAGAGUCUGAAUCAGCUUGUGUGUUAGUGGAACGGUCUGGAAAGUCCGACGGUACAGGGUGAUAGUCCCGUACACCAAAAUGCACAGGUUGUGAACUCGAAGAGUAGGGCGGGACACGUGGUAUCCUGUCUGAAUAUGGGGGGACCAUCCUCCAAGGCUAAAUACUCCUGACUGACCGAUAGUGAACCAGUACCGUGAGGGAAAGGCGAAAAGAACCCCGGCGAGGGGAGUGAAAAAGAACCUGAAACCGUGUACGUACAAGCAGUGGGAGCACCUUCGGGUGUGACUGCGUACCUUUUGUAUAAUGGGUCAGCGACUUAUAUUCUGUAGCAAGGUUAACCGUAUAGGGGAGCCGCAGGGAAACCGAGUCUUAACUGGGCGUUAAGUUGCAGGGUAUAGACCCGAAACCCGGUGAUCUAGCCAUGGGCAGGUUGAAGGUUGGGUAACACUAACUGGAGGACCGAACCGACUAAUGUUGAAAAAUUAGCGGAUGACUUGUGGCUGGGGGUGAAAGGCCAAUCAAACCGGGAGAUAGCUGGUUCUCCCCGAAAGCUAUUUAGGUAGCGCCUCGUGAAUUCAUCUUCGGGGGUAGAGCACUGUUUCGGCUAGGGGGUCAUCCCGACUUACCAACCCGAUGCAAACUACGAAUACCGAAGAAUGUUAUCACGGGAGACACACGGCGGGUGCUAACGUCCGUCGUGAAGAGGGAAACAACCCAGACCGCCAGCUAAGGUCCCAAAGUCAUGGUUAAGUGGGAAACGAUGUGGGAAGGCACAGACAGCCAGGAUGUUGGCUUAGAAGCAGCCAUCAUUUAAAGAAAGCGUAAUAGCUCACUGGUCGAGUCGGCCUGCGCGGAAGAUGUAACGGGGCUAAACCAUGCACCGAAGCUGCGGCAGCGACACUAUGUGUUGUUGGGUAGGGGAGCGUUCUGUAAGCCUGCGAAGGUGUGCUGUGAGGCAUGCUGGAGGUAUCAGAAGUGCGAAUGCUGACAUAAGUAACGAUAAAGCGGGUGAAAAGCCCGCUCGCCGGAAGACCAAGGGUUCCUGUCCAACGUUAAUCGGGGCAGGGUGAGUCGACCCCUAAGGCGAGGCCGAAAGGCGUAGUCGAUGGGAAACAGGUUAAUAUUCCUGUACUUGGUGUUACUGCGAAGGGGGGACGGAGAAGGCUAUGUUAGCCGGGCGACGGUUGUCCCGGUUUAAGCAUGUAGGCUGGUUGUCCAGGCAAAUCCGGAUAAUCAAGGCUGAGGUGUGAUGACGAGGCACUACGGUGCUGAAGUAACAAAUGCCCUGCUUCCAGGAAAAGCCUCUAAGCAUCAGGUAACAUCAAAUCGUACCCCAAACCGACACAGGUGGUCAGGUAGAGAAUACCAAGGCGCUUGAGAGAACUCGGGUGAAGGAACUAGGCAAAAUGGUGCCGUAACUUCGGGAGAAGGCACGCUGGUGUGUAGGUGAAGUCCCUGCGGAUGGAGCUGAGACCAGUCGAAGAUACCAGCUGGCUGCAACUGUUUAUUAAAAACACAGCACUGUGCAAACACGAAAGUGGACGUAUACGGUGUGACGCCUGCCCGGUGCCGGAAGGUUAAUUGAUGGGGUUAUCCGUAAGGAGAAGCUCUUGAUCGAAGCCCCGGUAAACGGCGGCCGUAACUAUAACGGUCCUAAGGUAGCGAAAUUCCUUGUCGGGUAAGUUCCGACCUGCACGAAUGGCGUAAUGAUGGCCAGGCUGUCUCCACCCGAGACUCAGUGAAAUUGAACUCGCUGUGAAGAUGCAGUGUACCCGCGGCAAGACGGAAAGACCCCGUGAACCUUUACUAUAGCUUGACACUGAACAUUGAGCCUUGAUGUGUAGGAUAGGUGGGAGGCUUUGAAGCGUGGACGCCAGUCUGCGUGGAGCCAACCUUGAAAUACCACCCUUUAAUGUUUGAUGUUCUAACGUUGGCCCCUUAUCGGGGUUGCGGACAGUGUCUGGUGGGUAGUUUGACUGGGGCGGUCUCCUCCCAAAGCGUAACGGAGGAGCACGAAGGUUAGCUAAUCCUGGUCGGACAUCAGGAGGUUAGUGCAAUGGCAUAAGCUAGCUUGACUGCGAGCGUGACGGCGCGAGCAGGUGCGAAAGCAGGUCAUAGUGAUCCGGUGGUUCUGAAUGGAAGGGCCAUCGCUCAACGGAUAAAAGGUACUCCGGGGAUAACAGGCUGAUACCGCCCAAGAGUUCAUAUCGACGGCGGUGUUUGGCACCUCGAUGUCGGCUCAUCACAUCCUGGGGCUGAAGUAGGUCCCAAGGGUAUGGCUGUUCGCCAUUUAAAGUGGUACGCGAGCUGGGUUUAGAACGUCGUGAGACAGUUCGGUCCCUAUCUGCCGUGGGCGCUGGAGAAUUGAGGGGGGCUGCUCCUAGUACGAGAGGACCGGAGUGGACGCAUCACUGGUGUUCGGGUUGUCAUGCCAAUGGCACUGCCCGGUAGCUAAAUGCGGAAGAGAUAAGUGCUGAAAGCAUCUAAGCACGAAACUUGCCCCGAGAUGAGUUCUCCCUGAGACUUUAAGUCUCCUGAAGGAACGUUAAAGACGAUGACGUUGAUAGGCCGGGUGUGUAAGCGCAGCGAUGCGUUGAGCUAACCGGUACUAAUGAACCGUGAGGCUUAACC
rnacentral:rRNA from 1 species